rnacentral:rRNA from 1 species
CACUCCUGCGGGAGGCAGCAGUGGGGAAUAUUGCACAAUGGGCGCAAGCCUGAUGCAGCCAUGCCGCGUGUAUGAAGAAGGCCUUCGGGUCGUAAAGUACUUUCAGCGGGGAGGAAGGCGAUAAGGUUAAUAACCUUGUCGAUUGACGUUACCCGCAGAAGAAGCACCGGCUAACUCCGUGCCAGCAGCCGCGGUAAUACGGAGGGUGCAAGCGUUAAUCGGAAUUACUGGGCGUAAAGCGCACGCAGGCGGUCUGUCAAGUCGGAUGUGAAAUCCCCGGGCGCAACCUGGGAACUGCAUUCGAAACUGGCAGGCUAGAGUCUUGUAGAGGGGGGUAGAAUUCCAGGAGUAGCGGUGAAAUGCGUAGAGAUCUGGAGGAAUACCGGUGGCGAAGACGGCAUACG